GUCGACCUGGAAAGAUCAAUAUCUCAUUGUCGGCACUGGGUCAAGCUGUCGUAGCCCCACAGGUGUGCAAUAAACCCAGAGAAACCACAGAAACGGUGUUGAACCCAGCACCUUCAAUGUCUGGUGACAAUGAACCUCAGGUAAGAGUUGACAACAAGAAAGGCAAUAGAAGGUCAACAGAUGCAACUUUUCCUGACCUGUGCGAAGCUCUGACAAAGCCUGAGAAUAUUUUGGCCAGCCGUUCAUCCUGGUGUUUUGUACCGCACCCUGGCCAACAACAGCUUGCAUGUUAAAGUUUUCACAUGUCACAAAGUGCUACUUUUAGUGCUUAUCUGAUUUUGUCAUCCA